rnacentral:lncRNA from 1 species
GCACGUUCUGCAAACCUGCAAGUUUACAAUUCGAAAUGCAAGCUUACCGUGAGAAAAGAGGAAAAGGUAACGACGGUCACGUUUGAUUAAUUGCGAUUAUGGAACGGUCCACCUCCACCUUAGAACUCUAGCCGGCAGACUCUCACGGCAAAACAAAAUGUGGAGGAAAAAGUUCCGCGGAAGAAAUCAGAACUUUUGUUAUUCGGCUCGGCUGGACCAGAUGGCGAGCCACUUCGGUGACACGGGACUGCAAUUCGGGACGGUAUUUAUAGCGGUAAAGAAAGCACGAACAGAAAGGAGCCCGGUUUAAUUGACCAGAUCGACGCACAGCCUCAGAUCUGUAUAUAAAUUUCGACGAAAACAAUAACGCGAAGCUCAAAAGAAGAAGAACAAACAGGGGAUUGUUUUACGACGGAAAUGCAAGACUUUAACCAAUUAAAAAGAUUCGUUCAAUCAAUUUUUUCGUAGUAUAAUUACAUUCUCGGCAAAAGUGAACAAUUGUUUUCGGAAUAUGUCAUCUGAUAAUUGCAUUA